rnacentral:rRNA from 1 species
CCUACGGGGGGCUGCAGUGGGGAAUAUUGGACAAUGGGGGCAACCCUGAUCCAGCCAUGCCGCGUGUGUGAAGAAGGCCCUCGGGUUGUAAAGCACUUUCAGUGAGGAAGAACGCCUGGUGGUUAAUACCCAUCAGGAAAGACAUCACUCACAGAAGAAGCACCGGCUAACUCCGUGCCAGCAGCCGCGGUAAUACGGAGGGUGCGAGCGUUAAUCGGAAUUACUGGGCGUAAAGCGCGCGUAGGUGGCUUGAUAAGCCGGUUGUGAAAGCCCCGGGCUCAACCUGGGAACGGCAUCCGGAACUGUCAAGCUAGAGUGCAGGAGAGGAAGGUAGAAUUCCCGGUGUAGCGGUGAAAUGCGUAGAGACCGGGAGGAAUACCAGUGGCGAAGGCGGCCUUCUGGACUGACACUGACACUGAGGUGCGAAAGCGUGGGUAGCAAACAGGAUUAGAUACCCCUGUAGUC